GACGAACGCUGGCGGCGUGCUUAACACAUGCAAGUCGAACGAUGAACCCGGAGCUUGCUCCGGCGGAUUAGUGGCGAACGGGUGAGUAACACGUGAGUAACCUGCCCUUGACUCUGGGAUAACUGCUAGAAAUGGUAGCUAAUACCGGAUACGACCCUCGGCGGCAUCGCCAGGGGGUGGAAAGAAUUUCGGUCAAGGAUGGACUCGCGGCCUAUCAGCUAGUUGGUGAGGUAAAGGCUCACCAAGGCGACGACGGGUAGCCGGCCUGAGAGGGUGACCGGCCACACUGGGACUGAGACACGGCCCAGACUCCUACGGGAGGCAGCAGUGGGGAAUAUUGCACAAUGGGCGCAAGCCUGAUGCAGCAACGCCGCGUGAGGGAUGACGGCCUC
rnacentral:rRNA from 1 species